UACGUAGGCAGCGAGCGUUGUUCGGAGUUACUGGGCGUAAAGGGUGUGUAGGCGGUUCUUUAAGUUUGGUGUGAAAUCUCCCGGGCUCAACCGGGAGGGUGCGCCGAAUACUGAGGGACUAGAGUAUGGGAUGGGAAAGUGGAAUUCCUGGUGUAGCGGUGAAAUGCGUAGAUAUCAGGAGGAACACCUGUGGUGUAGACGGCUUUCUGGACCAUAACUGACGCUGAGACACGAAAGCGUGGGUAGCAAACAGG
rnacentral:rRNA from 1 species